rfam:Ovis aries breed Texel chromosome 6, whole genome shotgun sequence.
UCCCUGGUGGCUCAGAGGUUAAAGCAUCUGCCUCCAAUGCAGGAGACCUGGGUUUGAUCCCUGGGUCUGGAA